rnacentral:rRNA from 1 species
CUCGACGCUGAUGACUGGCUUCGCAGUAUCUCUCACAAACUGCGUUCCGCGCUGGUAGCGGAGGCUGACAAGGUCACCUUUGCUGCAUAUCAUCUUGAAGGCCCCGCCAGUCUAUGGUGGGAGAAUUAUGGAGCUAUGCACCCAGCGGGCCAUGUCACAACUUGGGCUGAAUUCAGCGAGGCUUUCCGUGAACAUCAUAUUCCGGAGGGUCUCAUGGACCGUAAGCGUGAAGAAUUUUGCAAUUUCACCCAAGGCCGACUUUCUGUGGAUGCCUAUAGCAGGGAGUUUGGUAAGCUCGCCCGAUAUGCAACUGAGGAAGUGUCUACUGACGCCAAGAAGCAAGCAAGGUUCCGUAAGGGCCUUAGUCCUGAGCUUCGUCGCGACCUCCGUCUGCAUGAGUGCACAUCUUUUCCGAAACUUGUCAACAAAGCCAUCAGUGCUGAAACUGGUCAGACUGACUAUGACGCAACACGCAAGCAUGGACGUGACACGGGUUCCUCAUCCGGUGCUGGUCCUCAGAAGCGCCGCGUGUGGGUACCCAACACCGCCCUGCCACCCAGGUUCACACCGAGGCCAUCUUUCCAGGCGCCUCGCCCCGCUCAACAGUCUGCUCCAGCCAAGCCCUAUGGGGGUCCAACCAAUAAUGCUCCUCCACGUACCAGUUCCGUGACUUGUUUCAAGUGUGGGGAAUCUGGUCACUAUAUGCGGGAGUGCCCCCAGACCAACCCCAAUCAAUCUGCUAAAGCUGUUGGCCGUGGCAAGCCGAUAGGGAAAGUAUUCCACGCUAAACCGGUCACCGCUUCACGUGGCCAGGUUAAUUGUAUCUCUGCCGAAGAAGCUCAAGAAGAUCCCAACGUCGUUCUCGGUACGCUUCUUGUUAAUUGCCACCCGGCAUCUGUUCUUUUCGAUACAGGAGCCUCUCAUUCUUUUAUAUCUAAAAAUUAUGCUCGUUUGCAUAACGUUGCAUUCUGUGACUUGCCAUCCUCCAUGGUAAUUCAAACUCCGGGAUCCAAAUGGCAAACUUCUAGAGUAAGCCAUGGAAAUGAAAUCCAAGUCGAUAGACUUGUUUUCCUCGCAUCUUUGAUAGCCCUUAAAUCUUCAGAUAUUAAUAUCAUUUUGGGUAUGGACUGGAUGUCAGCUCAUCAAGCCAAAAUUGAUUGCUUCUCUAGGACCGUUCAACUCACCCAUCCUUCGGGGAAGAUAGUCAAUGUUUUGACUCGAAUAGCCAAGCGACAAUUAUAUUCUCUUAAC